rnacentral:rRNA from 1 species
GGACGAACGCUGGCGGCGUGCUUAACACAUGCAAGUCGAACGAUGACGCCCGUGCUUGCACGGGUUGAUUAGUGGCGAACGGGUGAGUAACACGUGAGUAACCUGCCCUCCACUUCGGGAUAACCUCGGGAAAUCGGGGCUAAUACCGGAUAUGACUGCGCAUCGCAUGGUGUGUGGUGGAAAGAUUUAUCGGUGGUGGAUGGACUCGCGGCCUAUCAGUUUGUUGGUGAGGUAAUGGCUCACCAAGGCGAUGACGGGUAGCCGGCCUGAGAGGGCGACCGGCCACACUGGGACUGAGACACGGCCCAGACUCCUACGGGAGGCAGCAGUGGGGAAUAUUGCACAAUGGGCGAAAGCCUGAUGCAGCGACGCCGCGUGAGGGAUGACGGCCUUCGGGUUGUAAACCUCUUUCAGUAGGGAAGAAGCGAGAGUGACGGUACCUGCAGAAGAAGCGCCGGCUAACUAC